AUGCUGUGUCCCUUAUCCAUAACGCAUGCACUGCAAUCCGAUUGGCUGACUACGAACACUUGCUUUUUUCCUUUGAAAUUGCUCCACAAGACUCAAUAUGUUGAAAAACAAUCUCUAAAACACUACAAACAAUUCCCAAAUUUUCAAGUUUCUCUCCUUUUCCUCGCAAAUUUACAGGAAUUGCAUUGUCAAUAAAGGCUAGAUUUCAUGAGAUCCGAAGCCUAAAAUUCCUGGGCCUUGCUUGAUAAAAAUGAACUCUCAACAAAGCACAGACAUUCAAAUGGAUUGCUAGGACAAUAGCAAACCAGUGGCAUACAGUAAAUGUUAGAAGAUGAUUGUUGCUUCUCCUCCGCUGGCCGUUCGUUUGCUAAAUAGAAGAUCGAUCACUCAUGGUAAAAUGGACACAUCUUCAGAAUAUACGGCUGCUUGCUCAUUGGAUUUUGGCCCUUUUUUUUCUGGUAUUGUUCUUCUGGCAGAUGUUAAAUCUUGAAUUUGAAUAGAAGCUAGGAAAGACUUCGGAAAUGUAUAUUAUUGAGAGUUUGGUAGCAGUCAGGAUUCAAAGUUGUUAUAUUUUAUAAAUUUAUUAAAAAAUAUUUUUAUUUUUUAAAA